rnacentral:rRNA from 1 species
GACGUAGGGCGCGAGCGUUGUCCGGAAUUAUUGGGCGUAAAGAGCUCGUAGGCGGCUUGUCGCGUCGACUGUGAAAACCCGUGGCUCAACCAUGCGGUCUGCAGUCGAUACGGGCAGGCUAGAAUUCGGUAGGGGAGACUGGAAUUCCUGGUGUAGCGGUGAAAUGCGUAGAUAUCAGGAGGAAUACCGAUGGCGAAGGCAGCUUGCUGGGCCACUCCUGACACUGAGGUACGAAAGCGUGGGGAGCGAACAGG